rnacentral:rRNA from 1 species
UACGUAGGGGGCGAGCGUUGUCCGGAUUUAUUGGGCGUAAAGAGCUCGUAGGCGGUUUGGUAAGUCGGAUGUGAAAUCUCCAGGCUCAACCUGGAGGGGUCAUUCGAUACUGCCAUGACUAGAGUCCGGUAGGGGCGUGCGGAACUGUGGGUGGAGCGGUGAAAUGCGUUGAUAUCCACAGGAACUCCGGUGGCGAAGGCGGCACGCUGGACCCUCCCUGACGCUGAGGCGCGAAAGCCAGGGGAGCGAACGGG